CGAUUUAUCUGACAGCUGUUAAGGUAGUUAACUUGAUAAAAUGAUAUGAUAAUUUACACAUGUGAAGCACGAAACAGAGGAAAACAAAAGGAAGAAAUGAAGAAGUUUAUCUUAUGACUGUAUACAUGAGCACAAGUUCUUUAUGUUUUUGGAAUUAUCAGGAUCUGAUCCAUAAAAUUUUAUUCCAUGCAGAGGCUAGGUGUGUCUAAGAGA
rnacentral:misc_RNA from 1 species